GGGCCCGCACAAGCGGAGGAACAUGUGGUUUAAUUCGAUGAUACGCGAGGAACCUUACCAAGACUUAAAUGUAGAUUGACAGAUCGUGAAAACGAUUUUUUCUUCGGACAAUUUACAAGGUGCUGCAUGGUUGUCGUCAGCUCGUGCCGUGAGGUGUCGGGUUAAGUCCCAUAACGAGCGCAACCCCUAUUUUUAGUUACCAGCGAGUAAUGUCGGGAACUCUAGAAAGACUGCCUGUGUAAACAGUGAGGAAGGUGGGGAUGACGUCAAAUCAUCACGGCCUUAUGUCUUGGGCUACACACGUGCUACAAUGGCCGGUACAGAGAGCAGCCACACCGCAAGGUGGAG
rnacentral:rRNA from 1 species